ACCGAUAGCGAACAAGUACCGUGAGGGAAAGAUGAAAAGAACUUUGAAAAGAGAGUUAAACAGUACGUGAAAUUGUUGAAAGGGAAACGAUUGAAGUCAGUCGUGCUGGCGCGAAAUCAACCCUCUCGUCGAGAGA
rnacentral:rRNA from 1 species